UACGUAGGGGGCUAGCGUUGUCCGGAAUCAUUGGGCGUAAAGAGCGUGUAGGCGGCCCGGUAAGUCCGCUGUGAAAGUCGGGGGCUCAACCCUCGAAUGCCGGUGGAUACUGUCGGGCUAGAGUGCGGAAGAGGCGAGUGGAAUUCCUGGUGUAGCGGUGAAAUGCGCAGAUAUCAGGAGGAACACCGAUUGCGAAGGCAGCUCGCUGGGACGUUACUGACGCUGAGGUGCGAAAGCGUGGGGAGCAAACAGG
rnacentral:rRNA from 1 species